GCAGACGAUCGCCGUCAAAUAGAUGUUUGUAGUUUGCAGAAUGGAAAGAACUUUGCAGCGAAAAUUAUUUUCACUUCUAUGUGAAAAUCUAACCAGAAAACUCCCCUGUCAAUUACAAGAUACAGUAUGCCAUUCCAGCUUUGAUGAAAUAAAGUAAUGGUUUGAUUUGGAGAGCUUUAUUAUUAUAGACAGGGAUGAUGACCUGCAGUAGAAAGUUCCUUAUAACUCAUCAUGGCCAUUACGGAAGAUCUGAUUAACAUUUGUUUAGAAAGCCACCAAAUAUGUCCAUGAAAAGUAGCAAAAAGACAGCAAUUAUACAUUAUGUACAUAUAUGUACUAAGCAGAAGCAUUGUUGACUGUUUCAAGACCAAAUGAAUUGGAAUUUAGUGUUUUGAUGCUGAGAGACAGAGGAAAAUUAACUGGAAAAUUUAGUUUCU